rnacentral:rRNA from 1 species
GCGUUGUCCGGAUUACUGGGCGUAAAGGAGCUCGUAGGUGGUUUGUCGCGUGUCGUGAAACUCACACUCAUGUGGGGCGUGCGGGCGAUACGGGCAGACUUGAGUACUGCAGGGGAGACUGGAAUUCCUGGUGUAGCGGUGGAAUGCGCAGAUAUCAGGAGGAACACCGGUGGCGAAGGCGGGUCUCUGGGCAGUAACUGACGCUGAGGAGCGAAAGCGUGGGGAGCGAACAGGAUUAGAUACCCUGGUAGUCCACGCCGUAAACGGUGGGUACUAGGUGUGGGUUUCCUUCCUUGGGAUCCGUGCCGUAGCUAACGCAUUAAGUACCCCGCCUGGGAGUACGGCCGCAAGGCUAAAACUCAAAGAAAUUGACGGGGGCCCGCACAAGCGGCGGAGCAUGUGGAUUAAUUCGAUGCAACGCGAAGAACCUUACCUGGGUUUGACAUGCACAGGACGCCGGCAGAGAUGUCGGUUCCCUUGUGGCCUGUGUGCAGGUGGUGCAUGGCUGUCGUCAGCUCGUGUCGUGAGAUGUUGGGUUAAGUCCCGCAACGAGCGCAACCCUUGUCCUAUGUUGCCAGCGGGUUAUGCCGGGGACUCGUAGGAGACUGCCGGGGUCAACUCGGAGGAAGGUGGGGAUGACGUCAAGUCAUCAUGCCCCUUAUGUCCAGGGCUUCACACAUGCUACAAUGGCCGGUACAAAGGGCUGCGAUGCCGUGAGGUGGAGCGAAUCCUUUCAAAGCCGGUCUCAGUUCGGAUCGGGGUCUGCAACUCGACCCCGUGAAGUCGGAGUCGCUAGUAAUCGCAGAUCAGCAACGCUGCGGUGAAUACGUUCCCGGGCCUUGCACUCACCGCCCGUC